rnacentral:rRNA from 1 species
AUGACGUACUUGUACUGAUUGAGAUUUUAACACGAAGUGAGUGGCGAACGGGUGAGUAACACGUGGGUAACCUGCCCAGAAGUAGGGGAUAACACCUGGAAACAGAUGCUAAUACCGUAUAACAGAGAAAACCGCAUGGUUUUCUUUUAAAAGAUGGCUCUGCUAUCACUUCUGGAUGGACCCGCGGCGUAUUAGCUAGUUGGUGAGGUAAAGGCUCACCAAGGCAGUGAUACGUAGCCGACCUGAGAGGGUAAUCGGCCACAUUGGGACUGAGACACGGCCCAGACUCCUACGGGAGGCAGCAGUAGGGAAUCUUCCACAAUGGACGCAAGUCUGAUGGAGCAACGCCGCGUGAGUG